CUCAGUGCCACACGUGUCGAACCGGGUGUGUAUCCUGAAGUGCGAACCGACCACUUGAGCCACGCAGGAGGGCACCCCCAAAUACACCUUGUUCCUCUGCAGCUGGGCCAGGGCCUGCACGGGGAUCUGGAUGUGGAAGUCCGUCCGCGUGCAGCUGACGUUCAUGGGCACGACUCCGACGUAGGCAAGGGAGAAGCCCCGCUUGGCCGUGCU
rnacentral:lncRNA from 1 species